CCCUGCCACUUUAGCAUUUUAAAUUCUGUGUUUAUAUGAGAGCAGAUGUUUUAAUUACUCACUGAAGCUAAGUGGGGUUGAGCCUGGUUAGUACCUGGAUGGAAGACCACACGGAAAAACUAGGUUGCUGUUGGAA
rnacentral:rRNA from 1 species